rnacentral:tRNA from 1 species
CAAGAAAAGGUCAGGAUAGCUCAGUUGGUAGAGCAGAGGACUGGAAA